GAUGAACGCUGGCGGCGUGCCUAAUACAUGCAAGUCGAGCGAACAGACGAGGAGCUUGCUCCUCUGACGUUAGCGGCGGACGGGUGAGUAACACGUGGAUAACCUACCUAUAAGACUGGGAUAACUUCGGGAAACCGGAGCUAAUACCGGAUAAUAUAUUGAACCGCAUGGUUCAAUAGUGAAAGACGGUUUUGCUGUCACUUAUAGAUGGAUCCGCGCCGCAUUAGCUAGUUGGUAAGGUAACGGCUUACCAAGGCAACGAUGCGUAGCCGACCUGAGAGGAUGAACGGCGACGGGGGGACGGAGAGCAGGCCAAGACGGCGACGGGAGGCAGGGGGGGGGAAUAUUGAAAAAUGGGGGGAAGCAAGAAGUAGAACUGCCGCGAGCGAGAGGACGGUCUUCGGGUUGUAAACAGCUUUCCCCUGUAACGAAGCGUGAGUGACGGUAAGGGGUAAAGAAGCACCGGCUAACUACGUG
rnacentral:rRNA from 1 species